UUUUGCAUUCCUGAAAAAAGAAGCAGAGCCACGACUCAUGUAGGCCUUUUUUGAGAUGUGCUGGCAAAACUAAGCAAUAAACUAAAAAGCCCAAAUGGAAUCCUUCCAGAGAAUCUUUAGCGUGGACAACACCCGUAAAACUAUUGGAGCACUCAACGAUAAAAAUAACAUGCAACAGAAUAGAUAAAGAAAAAUACCAAAGUAUCCAACUUUGUAACCCCCCCAUCCCACACACACUUUGAUAAGACGAGGGGAGGAACAGAUAAACACCAUCAAACACAAUAUUCCACACCCGGGUCUGUUGUCCACGAUGGCAACAUCGAACCUAGCAAAAUUAAGCACAUAGGUACGAUAGAGUUAUGGUACUCGUCAGUUGGCCGCAAAAAAGCGGGGAGCCAGACAUAGCACACACAUUAAUAACCACUCACAUGCCGUCACGGUCACAACCCACCAAA
rnacentral:rRNA from 1 species